AAUAGUCGCCAUAGUGCGUGGUAAGCCCUAAGGCCCUAAGGCUAAUGAACAUUAAAGUACGUCACCUACCUCGCAACAAACAUUCCUCGCUUGAUUUUAGAGCGCAAAAGUUUAGCUUCGCUGAGUCCACAGUCCAAGACUGAACACUAGACGAAGCGAAGAAAUAAAUAAAGCGAUUCCAUUGGUUUCUUACUGAAACAUCACUCGAACAAUCAGGUGGCAAGGCAGGCCUAAGUAACACAUCUUGUAACAUAAAAUAAUAUUUACAUAUUCUUCCUAAAUCUAUUGAACAUCUUGUUAGUUUUAUCGUUACAAGGUCGUUUAUUGUUUACACACAUUAUAAUGUGUAAUCAGGGGCCUUACUGGCAGAAUCAAAAGGUGUGCUACCUUGAUUUGACAUUUGACUAGAUAUUGCCCGCUUUAACCGAUUUGAUAAAGACUGUAUAAUGUUUCGGCACGCAAUGGUUAAUGGACAAUCCAUUAGAGGUAAUGUUAACUUUUUGGGCUUUAUAUCUGAGUAGUAGAGUUGACAUUUGUGUGGCGUUUAGAGAUGAACUUUUUAAGAAGGUCUUAAUCUUAUUUGUGUCUAACGAUGAUCCCUAACCUUCCUAAAGUUUAAAGAGAGGUAACUGCGGUUUUAUUAGUGUUGUUGAAUCGUUCAAAUCAUGUCAGGUGAAGCAGCGAAAGCCUGCGGUUCGCCAGCAUAGUUCCAAUCCAAAAAAAAAACAUUUAAAUGGCUACUUAUCGACUGAUAGAUAUCGUGCAAACCGCUCCGGAUUUUUAACCAACAGUUAUUAUUUUCGUUUAACUGGCAAAGCUAAUAAUAACGAUACAACAGCGAGCGUGCUCCAAAAACGUCAGUAUAAUGAUUGCUUCGCAUGCAAACGUCGGACUGUUGCCAUAACAACUCGGCCAGCAUAUUCUAACCAAUUAGAAUCAUUUGCAAUUAAUCAAAUUGAAAAUGUGUUGUUUAUUAAUUUUAAUUAUUUUAAUUCUUUGUCCCAUGAUGUAGGUAGAACUAAUCAAAAAAGAAUGCAACAGUUUUUAAGAAUGUUGCCAAGACGCGCAUGUCACAUCACAUUGGAAGGAGCCAUUCAAAUUGUCCUUGUUCUUUUUGUUUCCGAGGAAUAACGGUCAACAGAUAAACUAAAUCAAAGAUGACAGACAACACGUCGUGCUGAGGAAAGCGACUCUAUCGCCUCGGCGUCGAGCGAAAUCAAUGGCAACAAAAACAUAAUGAACAAACAAAAAAUAUGUUGUUACCGUACCGGUCGUGCAUCAACGUCGCAGCGGCACGAACGAGCCAGCAUGGCUCUCACAGCGCAAGAACCGCUAACAAACACCUUCACUAAACACGUA